GCAUAUCAAUAAGCGGAGGAAAAGAAACCAACANNNAUUGCCCCAGUAGCGGCGAGUGAAGCGGCAAGAGCUCAGAUUUGAAAUCGUGUUUCGGCACGAGUUGUAGAGUGUAGGCGGGAGUCUCUGUGGAGCGCGGUGUCCAAGUCCCUUGGAACAGGGUGCCUGAGAGGGUGAGAGCCCCGUAGGGUGCUGCGCGAAGCUUUUGAGGCCCUGCUGACGAGUCGAGUUGUUUGGGAAUGCAGCUCCAAGCGGGUGGUAAAUUCCAUCUAAGGCUAAAUAUUGGCGAGAGACCGAUAGCGAACAAGUACUGUGAAGGAAAGAUGAAAAGCACUUUGAAAAGAGAGUGAAACAGCACGUGAAAUUGUUGAAAGGGAAGGGUAUUGGGCUCGACAUGGGGGGUGCGCGUCGCUGUCUCUUGUAGGCGGCGCUCUGGACGCCCUCUGGGCCAGCAUCGGUUCCUGCUGCGGGAGAAGGGGCUCCGGAAAGUGGCUCUUCGGAGUGUUAUAGCCGGGGCCAGAUGCCGCGUGUGGGGACCGAGGACUGCGGCUUCUGUCUCGGAUGCUGGCAUAACGGCGCAAUACCGCCCGUCUU
rnacentral:rRNA from 1 species